rnacentral:tRNA from 1 species
GAGGCUGUAGCUCAGUGGUAGAGCACUCGCUUUGCAUGUGUGAGGUGCUGGGUUUGAUCCUCAGUACCACA